rnacentral:lncRNA from 1 species
UCCAGCUUACUUGUCAGGAUAAAGCCCCCAGCGUGGUGCAAAGAGCCCUGGAGAAGCACAAUGUGCCCCAGCCCUGGGCCCGGGACUACCAGCUCCUCCAGGUCUUGCCUGGGGACAGAGAGCUCCUGAUUCCUGACAGUGCCAAUGUCUUCUAUGCUAUGAACCCAGCUGCCCCUGGUGACUUCUUACUUCGUCGGAAGGAGGGGACAGGACAUACACCCUCUGCCUCCCCAAGCUGAGGCGGUGCUCUCCCUGUCCUGAGCCAGAGGCACAGCUGACAGCUUGGAACCUGGAUUUUACUACCAUCAAAGUAGGGGCCCUGGAGAGCCUCUGUCCCCAGUGGAAACCAUUUUGCUCUGUACCCUGGGGUCCCCCAACUUUGGGCCAUUGGAGCCCCAUCUCUUUGACUCCCUUGGCCCUUGACCAUUAUUCUAAAAGCAUGGAUGUGUGGGAAGAGUGUAAAACUAGGAAGAAUCAAGGGCGCUCAGCUUAGGUGGGAGAGCCUUUGCCCAGCAGCCCCAGACCCUGGAUGGUUUCCCAGCACUUCCAAAAUAAAAGUCCUAAGGGACUUGGACUAUGAGAUGCAGUUCAGUCACAUUCUAACAUUCAGGACUCUGAGACCCAGGACAGAGCAUAGACAAUGUGGUGACACACAUCCGUAAUCCCAGUGCUUGGGACGGGGGAUCAGGAGAAUCAUCCUUGGCUACAUAGUGAGUGCAGGACAAACCUGGGCUACAUCAUGAAACCCCACUCAAAAAAAAAAAAAUCCUAAGGAGAGGUAGGGAAAUCUUAAGGGAAGUUCAGGGUUUCCUCCCCCGCAGUUUCAGGAGGGGCUGUCCUGCUUUUCUGUCACCUGGUGGAUAAAUGGGAAGAGGGAAGAGGUUACCCAUCCCUUGCAAAUACAGACAGUGAGAAACUGGGCAUGGCGGUGCCUGUCACUGGGGGAGGCGGGAGGAUUUUGAGCUCAAGACCAUUUUCAGCUGUAGUGUGACUUCCAGACCAGCGAAAGAAAGAAAAAAAGAAAGAAGGAAGGAAAGAAAGAAAGAAGGAAAGAAAGAAAGAAAGAAAGAAAGAAAGAAAGAGAAAAGAAGGAAGGAAGGAAAG